rnacentral:hammerhead_ribozyme from 1 species
AGCCAGCUGACGAGUCUCAAAUGGGAUGAAACGCGCAUCCUAGAU